GGUCCCUAUCCGGCGUGGGCGUAGGAUAUUUGAGAGGAGCUGUCCUUAGUACGAGAGGACCGGGAUGGACUGGCCGCUGGUGUAUCUGUUGUUCUACCAAGAGCAUAGCAGAGUAGCCAAGCCAGGACGGGAUAAACGCUGAAGGCAUCUAAGCGUGAAGCCCCCCUCAAGAUGAGAUAUCCCUAACGUAAGUUAGUAAGACCCCUUGAAGACGACGAGGUAGAUAGGAUAGAGGUGGAAGCAUGGUAACAUGUGGAGCUGACUAUUACUAAUCGGUCGAGGGUAUGACCAU
rnacentral:rRNA from 1 species